UGGGGAAUAUUGCACAAUGGGCGCAAGCCUGAUGCAGCCAUGCCGCGUGUAUGAAGAAGGCCUUCGGGUUGUAAAGUACUUUCAGUCGGGAGGAAGGUGUCAAGGUUAAUAACCUUGGCAAUUGACGUUACCGACAGAAGAAGCACCGGCUAACUCCGUGCCAGCAGCCGCGGUAAUACGGAGGGGGCAAGCGUUAAUCGGAAUUACUGGGCGUAAAGCGCACGCAGGCGGUUGAUUGAGUCAGAUGUGAAAUCCCCGGGCUUAACCCGGGAAUUGCAUCUGAUACUGGUCAGCUAGAGUCUUGUAGAGGGGGGUAGAAUUCCAUGUGUAGCGGUGAAAUGCGUAGAGAUGUGGAGGAAUACCGGUGGCGAAGGCGGCCCCCUGGACAAAGACUGACGCUCAGGUGCGAAAGCGUGGGGAGCAAACA
rnacentral:rRNA from 1 species